rnacentral:lncRNA from 10 species
ACACCCACGCCAACAUGGAAGAGCUUUUUUUUCCAGUACCUUUCCCUUUGGUUUCAACUAACAACUUCCUGUGUGCCGGUUUGGACAAAAAAUUCUAUGGUCAUCCUAACUGAAGAUCAGGAUGGCUGAUUAAAUAAUAAAAAGCAUAUAUGUUCUCAUCUGGUGUGGACUGCAAACGUGUUUGGAUGGCAAAGAUAAAUCUUGCCAAGUUUCACCCAUGUGCAACUAAGCUCAUCGACUGAUUGACUCUUGGCUGGCUAGAAUCUUGGGCAGCCCAACUCAGACUGUUUGCAACCAGACUUCUCAGCUUUGGUGUUGUAAAAACUGAAGGCAGCUAAUCCCAGAGAAGCAUUUACAAUUUGCCCAAUGAGCCAAAAGAACUUAAUUUGACUCUCUCUUGUUUGGUUACUUUCUCCUCUCGCCUUAUUAUCAAGUCCUGUACUGCUCAAUUCAGUGACCACUAGCCAUAUGUGGCUACUGAGCACUUGAAAUGUGGCUAGUUUGAACUGAGAUGUGCUCUAAGUACACUGGAUUUUGAAGACUUUGUACAAAAAAAAAGUAAACUAUCCCAUUAAUAAUUUUUGUAUUGAUUACAUAUUAAAAUGGUAAUAUUUCAAAUGUACUGAUUUAAAUAAAAUGUAUUAAAA